rnacentral:rRNA from 1 species
CAGUAGCCGCGGUAAUACGAAGGGUGCAAGCGUUACUCGGAAUUACUGGGCGUAAAGCGUGCGUAGGCGGUUUGUUAAGUCUGUUGUGAAAUCCCCGGGCUCAACCUGGGAAUGGCAAUGGAUACUGGCAAGCUAGAGUGUGUCAGAGGAUGGUGGAAUUCCCGGUGUAGCGGUGAAACGCGUAGAGAUCGGGAGGAACAUCAGUGGCGAAGGCGGCCAUCUGGGACAACACUGACGCUGAGGCACGAAAGCGUGGGGAGCAAACAGGAUUAGAUACCCGGGUAGUCCCUGUCUCUUAUAC